CACCCCUCACCCUCUCGCCCCCCUCUCUCCUACGCACCCACAGCCGCAGCCCCCAACCAUCUCCCUCACUCAGAUCUCGAUCCGCCGCCGCCCCCAACCCCACCUCCACCGCCACCGUCGACGACCAUCACAGUAGACGAGGUCGAGGCUGACCCAAGAUCGAGCCAUGCACAGACUCGCGAUGGGCGCAGCGGGGAUUCUCAGGCAACCCCACGCCAAUCGAGACCUCGAUCUGAAUCGAGCAGGCGCUCUCCACCGGCGGGGCUUGGGCUGGCCGGUGUCCCCCGUCGACGUCCUCCUCCCUACCGCUCCCGACAACUAGUUCCCCUGCCACCUCCCUUUCCCGCCGACCCGUGCUCGGCCACCACAGCCGCGGCCUGCUCUGGAACCGCUCCAUGAGCCACGUCGCAUCGCGGCUCAGCUCCGCCACCGUCGGGGGCCCCGCCCCUGACCACGACCACCACCCCAUCCAUCCACCCAUCUUCCCCCAAGUUUCCUUUCGGGAAGUAGUAGCAGGGGAGCAGGAGCAGAAGGCGAUGGCGGACGUGCAGAUGGGCAGCGGCACGGAGACGGAGACCUUCGCGUUCCAGGCGGAGAUCAACCAGCUGCUCUUGCUCAUCAUCAACACCUUCUACUCCAACAAGGAGAUCUUCCUCCGCGAUCUCAUCUCCAACUCAUCAGAUGCGCUUGACAAGAUCUGGUUCGAGAGCCUCACGGACAAGAGUCAGUGGCAGACCAUGCGAACAACCUGGGCACCAUCGUGGGCUCGGGCACCAAGGAGUUCAUGGAGGCUCUGCAGGGCCGGGGCCGUGGCUGCGCCAGCAGGAGUGAAGCAAGCGCUGAUAUCUUUGUCGGAUACAACAGACUUGGCUAAUCUCGGAAACAACCUUCAGAGCUUGGGGUUCUCUAUCAUCUCCACUGGUGGUACAGCGUCAAGCUUGGAAGCAGCUGGAGUGAAUGUGAGAAAAGUUGAAUAGCUUACACAUUUUCCUGAAAUGGUAUGGCUUAAUUUGUUUUUUAGCUGGUGCAGCAUUUCUUGAAAUGAUUUUUAUUCUAAGCAUUUUUGUCAUAGUCAAUAAGCUAGUUCAUGAAUCAAAUUUGUUAAUGAAAUGUUGCUGUAGCAUGCUAUAGUUAAUUACUCAUGGGCGAAUAGGGCCACACGCACGGCCACGCCACUGCUGGAAUCAUCUCAUUUUCGUCCCUCAAAUUAUUUGGUAGCAGAGUUUGAAAUCCAGGGCGGGCUGGCUGGCUGGAUUUGAGUUGUAACCGUAACCGUAGCAGAAUUUAGCAACGUUAGCUUAGGUAAAGAUUUGGUUGAUGAAUGCCUGGGAGUAUCACUGCUUGUUCCAUGCUGCAUUUCAGAAUUGUUCAUUUUUGUGUUAUGACAACUUUAUUGCAUCCUGCCGAAGCCUUUUAAAAUCAUGUACCACACAAUUAGAUCGGUAUUUGAUUACUGUUACAAGAGUAUUCUUGCCACUGAUUGACUACUCCAGCUACUUUUGGUCUAGUUGGGCAUUAUUUAGAGUUCAUAUAUGUGCUUGUCACUCCAUUGGUUAUAGUGAUUCCCUCUGUUUCCUUAUAUGUUCUUGUAGUUUGGUUGCUUUCCUGUUCAUGCAUGUUUGUACAUCUAUAUAUAGUUUUGCUGUGAAUUUGUCGUGCAUGUAUUGAAAUGCAGAAAGUGUUGAAUACAUGUUCGCUCUCAGCUGGGAUAUUGAAUUGUACAUAAUUAUGUGAUUUAUUCAUGUCUACUUCUUAUCUUAUUAAGUGAUUAUCUUUAUGUCCUUGCUACCAGUAGGAUGGUCAAUAGCUUGUUUUGUAGUUUAUAUAUUCCUGUACAGUUUGCUUUGCCCUUCAUAUCUGACUACGUAUUGUAGAAUCUCUACUUUAUGCAAAUAGCUUCCUGUAGCAUUGUUCUACUAUCUGUGUGAUGCUGAACAUUAUGCUCUUAAUCUGUUGCCAUAUCCUCACCAAAUGCACAGUUUAUUUCAUUAGACCUACUCUUAAACAAAGUCUUAACUUGUAUCAAUUUUUCUUAACAAUAAGCAUAGAAAUCCCGACUCUUAUGUUAUAUGAUCAGCUUACUCCUGCUUCAACAACUGUACUAAUUCCUGACUGUUGUAUGUAAGGAGUAAAAUAGUUUACUUGAGUGAUAUCCACUGGUUCACCAUCUUAAAGCACCUUUUUAGCAUUAUGGGCUGCUAAUAGUAUUUUAGACUUACCAUAUCCUCUCUGGCGCGAUGGCAAGAGCGCAUGAUAGACUACUAAUAGGACAAGUAUCUGCAACGUUUAGCGUCAAAGAUGAUGCUUACCAGAUGUUCUACUGCAGCCCCAUCAAUAUCAUCGACAUGAAGUUAGAUUUUGGCCUUCAUUCAUCAAAAGUUGGUGUACAAGGAACUCCAGGAGAAGAAUCUUGAAGUAAAUAAUUUAUAUAGAUAAGGAUCUUAUGUUGUCGUGGUGGCUGCUGCUGUGACCGAAGAUCAAAAGAAGCCUGGAGAUGUGCAUCAUAGUUUUAGUUGAUGUUGCCACCAUGUUUUGGUGCAUGUGUAUUUGAUUGUAUGUACACUUGAUGGAUCGUGCAGUCGUGUAUGUGUUGUUGUGAGUUUCAUUUAGUGAUUUCUGGAUUUGAUCAUUUAAUUGAGAGAAGUAUUGAUUGUUUGCUGUUGAAA